GGGGAAUAUUGGGCAAUGGGCGAAAGCCUGACCCAGCAACGCCGCGUGAGGGAAGAAGGUUUUCGGAUCGUAAACCUCUGUCCUUAGUGAAGAGAAAGAGACGGUAGCUAAGGAGGAAGCCCCGGCUAACUACGUGCCAGCAGCCGCGGUAAUACGUAGGGGGCGAGCGUUGUCCGGAAUGAUUGGGCGUAAAGGGCGCGUAGGCGGCCUGUUAAGUCCGGAGUGAAAUUCCUGCUUUCAAGGUAGGAAGUGCUUUGGAAACUGGCGGGCUGGAGUGCAGGAGAGGUUAGCGGAAUUCCCGGUGUAGCGGUGAAAUGCGUAGAGAUCGGGAGGAACACCAGUGGCGAAGGCGACUAACUGGACUGUAACUGACGCUGAGGCGCGAAAGUGUGGGGAGCAAACA
rnacentral:rRNA from 1 species